GACGAACGCUGGCGGCGUGCCUAAUACAUGCAAGUAGAACGCACAGUUUAUACCGUAGCUUGCUACACCAUAGACUGUGAGUUGCGAACGGGUGAGUAACGCGUAGGUAACCUGCCUGGUAGCGGGGGAUAACUAUUGGAAACGAUAGCUAAUACCGCAUAAUAUUAAUUAUUGCAUGAUAAUUGAUUGAAAGAUGCAACUGCAUCACUACCAGAUGGACCUGCGUUGUAUUAGCUAGUAGGUGAGGUAACGGCUCACCUAGGCGACGAUACAUAGCCGACCUGAGAGGGUGAUCGGCCACACUGGGACUGAGACACGGCCCAGACUCCUACGGGAGGCAGCAGUAGGGAAUCUUCGGCAAUGGACGAAAGUCUGACCGAGCAACGCCGCGUGAGUGAAGAAGGUUUUCGGAUCGUAAAGCUCUGUUGUAAGAGAAGAACGGGUGUGAGAGUGGAAAGUUCACACUGUGACGGUAUCUUACCAGAAAGAGACGGCUAACUACGUG
rnacentral:rRNA from 1 species